rnacentral:rRNA from 1 species
GCCUAACACAUGCAAGUCGAACGGCAGCACAGUAAGAGCUUGCUCUUACGGGUGGCGAGUGGCGGACGGGUGAGGAAUACAUCGGAAUCUACUUUUUCGUGGGGGAUAACGUAGGGAAACUUACGCUAAUACCGCAUACGACCUACGGGUGAAAGCAGGGGAUCUUCGGACCUUGCGCGAUUGAAUGAGCCGAUGUCGGAUUAGCUAGUUGGCGGGGUAAAGGCCCACCAAGGCGACGAUCCGUAGCUGGUCUGAGAGGAUGAUCAGCCACACUGGAACUGAGACACGGUCCAGACUCCUACGGGAGGCAGCAGUGGGGAAUAUUGGACAAUGGGCGCAAGCCUGAUCCAGCCAUACCGCGUGGGUGAAGAAGGCCUUCGGGUUGUAAAGCCCUUUUGUUGGGAAAGAAAUCCAGCUGGUUAAUACCCGGUUGGGAUGACGGUACCCAAAGAAUAAGCACCGGCUAACUUCGUGCCAGCAGCCGCGGUAAUACGAAGGGUGCAAGCGUUACUCGGAAUUACUGGGCGUAAAGCGUGCGUAGGUGGUCGUUUAAGUCUGUUGUGAAAGCCCUGGGCUCAACCUGGGAACUGCAGUGGAAACUGGACGACUAGAGUGUGGUAGAGGGUAGCGGAAUUCCUGGUGUAGCAGUGAAAUGCGUAGAGAUCAGGAGGAACAUCCAUGGCGAAGGCAGCUACCUGGACCAACACUGACA